UCCCUGGUGGUCCAGUGGUUAAGACUCUGCGUUUCCACUGCAAGGGGCACAGGUUUGAUCCCUGGUUGGGGAA
rnacentral:tRNA from 1 species